AUUCCAUCUCUUCUUCUUCCUUAGUUAAUUUUAUUUAUGAAACAAGAUGGCCAAACAUUGUUUGAACAUGUCAUUUCCUUUGCUACCCAGUCCUAUUUUCUGUCCAAGUGUGCGUAUCAAAUCAAGUCUCCACUCUGAUUUAGUGUCGUCCUUCAACAGGAACAACAAUCGAUAGUUGUAAUUUGGAACACUCAUUUGAGCAAGAAAAAAGAAGCAACAUAUGCAGAAGAAAGGUUGAGAUUGUUAAGUGUAUACAAACCUCAACCUCGAACUUUCAACUAGCUAGAGCCUUUAAAAGGAAGCUUUCAAGACAAGCAGAUAUAUAAUGCAAUGCAACUACAAUUAUUUAUAGUGUUAUUCCCUAAUUAAGGCCUAAACGGGAUUAAUGUGAUACAUUAAGAUAAACUAUAUUAUAUGACCAAAUAUUGUCAUUUUUUUUUUAAGGAAUGACCAAAUAUUGUCAUUGUUUAGCGACAUUUUGAACAAUAAAUUUAUUCGAAAAAAACAAAUGGAAUCACAAAAUUAUUUUUUAAACAAUAUUAAAUAUUGCGACAGUUGUCUACAAGUUUUAGCUCAAUUG